UACGUAGGUGGCAAGCGUUGUCCGGAAUUAUUGGGCGUAAAGCGCGCGCAGGUGGUUUCUUAAGUCUGAUGUGAAAGCCCACGGCUCAACCGUGGAGGGUCAUUGGAAACUGGGGAACUUGAGUGCAGAAGAGGAAAGUGGAAUUCCAAGUGUAGCGGUGAAAUGCGUAGAGAUUUGGAGGAACACCAGUGGCGAAGGCGACUUCUGGUCUGUAACUGACACUGAGGCGCGAAAGCGUGGGGAGCGAACAGG
rnacentral:rRNA from 1 species